rnacentral:tRNA from 1 species
GAAAGAUUACACAAGAACUGCUAAUUCCUGUACCUAAAACUAAAAUCUUUAGAUCUNUCA